rfam:Listeria monocytogenes str. 4b F2365, complete genome.
UUUUUUUGCAACUAACAUCAUUUUCGUCUUAGUAAAGAUAAACUUACCUGUAUUAGUAUAGCCUUCUUUUGUGCGGAUUAUUUGUUCAUACACUAUCUCCUCUACUUCAAGUGAUUCUAUUGUUUGCUCGCCGUCCACAUUAAAAGGGUUCCCACUUUAGAAA